rnacentral:ncRNA from 1 species
UUCAUUUAGUUUAGUGAUAUUUAUUAAAUGAUACGAAACUGCCUUAUUUUUUAAGCAUUUAAAGGUGAAAUGACAUGAUAAUACGUAGUAUUUAUGGCGAGACUCCUGAGGGCGCAGUGCCAGUCGAAGACAGGGGCCCCAACAGAGAGAAAUACGAAAAGUAUUUCGUCGAUCAAAGCAAGUUGGGGUGGCUGAGACGGCACCCUAGGAAAGCGAGCCAACAAUACGAAGGAUUGAAUAAAAAAGAAA